GUGAAAUGCGAGCCUGUUUAACGGAAAAACUCUCCUCGGAUGUGUCCUCCUUGAUGGGAUGGUUUCUCUUGUGACUUUCAACUUCCAACUCCUCUUUUACCACUGGAGUGUUAUCAGAGUAGCGCCGAAAGAUGAAAAAUUUGAAUGUGAUGGAUCAUUUAUGGAUUCCAACUACAACGGGCUGCGGCAAGGGCGUAAUCAGAACUGUGCUGGUCAAUCAGGACUACAAGGCGGCAGUCAUUCCCGUGGACUGUGCCAUCAUUGGCCUCAUCGUGAUUCCCUACGAGUUCAACAAGCAAGCCAAGCGACCCGCCCAGUUCCUGUAGCUCCUGUUUGGCCAAAAGAGAUUCAUCGCGAGAGUGUGAGUGAUCAUCCACAUACCAGAAUUCGUAGUGGAUGUCGUGUGCAAGACUGUCAUUGUGGGAUUGGACUCCAAUUUUGUAGUUGGAAUCGUUUGGUUUUCGUCGAGUUCACGGUAAAGUGAAUCCAGAAAUGAUGGAUUCUUUCAUCUUUCGGCGCUACUUUGAUAAAACUUCAGUGGUAAAAGAGAAGUUGGACGUUGAAAGUCACAAGAGAAACCAACCCACCAAGGAGGACACAUCCGAGGAGAGUUUUUCCGUUAAACAGAACGGUGGCUCGCCGGUCAAGAAACUUCCACGCGCGAUUCAACCACCGAUUACUAUGCGCCCAUUAAAACAGAGUCUGGCCGCAGGCGGUUACAUUCAGGAUCCGAGGCUUAUAUCAAAAGCGUACGGGCAUAUCUGGGCGGUAAAAUCAACACGGAGUCGAAGGCGCAAUCGAAGACGAAGCCAGCGUCAAUAUCAGAACCCGACAAUCCUGGCGACAGACUCUGGACCGCUCUUUGCGACGAGCAAAGCAAAAACGAGCAAAAAAAGAAUUCGAUUAUGAUUUGAGCCUACCUUUGGAGAACAGGUUCAAAGCCUGUUUCUCGCUGGGAAAUUUGUGUAAAAGAGUCAGCAACGAGUAAACUAUCUCAGAAAAGUGGCGGUGCUCAAAGUACAUUUCACCGAAAUCUCGUCCUGUUGUGGAGCUGUCCUGGUUGAGCAAUUUAAACUCUCGCGGGACUCAACUUCCAAACCAAAAAUACAGAAAUGGCCAUAUUUGUAUUUCGCUCUGUGCCCAGUAUGAUCAAAGUAGAACAAAGUAGAUGCUCUCUAGGUACACUGCUUUGUGUUUGUUUGCACAAUAAAACCCGUGGAAAAUUCCAUCCAAAUUUUGUAUGAACUCCGGAGUAGAAUGUUAUUGCAGAGUGGAUAUGGAGCUAAGCCAAAUCUAUCUUUCGCCACUAACCAUACAGUAUAAAGUACACUCCAUGCGCGAAGAAUUUGUUUAAAAAUAUUGUUGAGCAAUGCAUUACAAACGAUGCAUAUUGGUCCAAUGCUGCAAAUCCAUGCGCUUCUCAUAGGUAUGAAAAGAACACUUGGUAAAAGUGUGCUACAACAAACUUUAAAUGUGUCAAUGAAAAAUUGGAAUUAGGCAUUAAGCAAGGAGAAUUAAAUUCCCAGACGCAUAAUAAAGGUUGGCUUUUGUAAUUCGAUCAUUUUCACAAAAUGCUAACAUCCCAUCCCUUAUUAAAAA